GCCGAUUUCAAAUACUCACUAGACACCGCCGCCGUGGUUACCGCGCCUGCGCGUUGGGGUCCUUCGGCCGCGGGCGGGGUGAGGUCGGCGUCAGAAGCUACGCGACUGGGAGGGGCUGGAGGGAGCAGCGGCGGCGUUGAGCCCUUCCAGACUAGGCCGGGGUUGGGAGGAACAGGCAGCCGCUGGAAGGCCCGCACGCCGCCCUUGGCCCGCCGCGGCGUGCAGACCUGGGCGUGCAGACAUGCGCGCUAGGGCUGGUGUCGCCGGGCUGCCGCCAGUGCUGCGCUGCGCGUGCGCAGGGGCGCAUGGCGGUCACCGCCAGCGGUGGAAGUUUCCGCGCAGCCAGGCGAGGGCCGCGGACGACACCGCUAGGCGCCUCCCCCAGCCGGCGGGCCCUGUCUCCUGACGCAAGGGCCGGCCUGGGUCACAGAUCCCGCCGCAGGCUUCUCAUUUGAGGGGCCGUGCAGCAGUUCACGCUGCGCUCUCCGGGGUCCGCGCGCCGGCCCACGUGCUCCCUGCACCUCGCUGGGUGAGCGGCCCACGUGCAGUGCCCGGUGACUGGCUCCGCCGCUCCGGAGCCGGGAAGGACGGGCGGCGGAGUCCUGCUCUCUAGCGGGUCUGCUUACAGGCGUUUGGUUUUCUUUUUUAAAUGAUUUUUUGUGUGAAAAGUGAAGUGAAAACGUCCAAGUUAAUUCCCUGGGCAAAAUGGGCAGUGCUAGCCGAGGAAUGGCUCGUGGGCGGCGCGUCCGGCCCCCGGCUUCGAUUUUUCCAGCUGCACGGAGCAGACAGGAGUCGGUAGGAAACCGCCCGCCAUCCACAGCCUGCUGUUUGUCAUCCCGGUGUUCCGAGCGCGAUGGAAGCCGAGUUGACAAUGGCACUGGAAUACAGCGUCAACCACACAUCCUGUGAGGUCCAAAGCAAACGCCAGUGUCGUUGAUCAUCGCGGUGCCCCGCGAGCCUGGGCGACGUGAGGCCCCGCGGCUGCCGCCCUGUCUUCAGGGGGAGUCUCCGCAAAUGCACUCCCGGGCCAGGGCCCUGAAACCGCCUUAGCCCAGUGGCGCCCGGGCUCCAAGCCUUUUAAGUAGAACCAUACUACCGGCGUGUUGUAAAUGCUACCCCCUCGUCUCCAGCACAGAUCAGUAGACAUUACUAAGCACUUGACCCUCCAAACAUCGCUCCAACAGGAAAGAAUGCAUGCUCCAUGAAGAGAGGAUAGGAAUGGCCUGUCCCUGCUGUGCACCAGCUCAAGGAUUGUCUGACACAUCAGUCCUCGGUGAACAUUGGCAGAAUGACUGGAAGCUGAUUGAUUGGCCCAGCAGGAAUGGACACGUGCAGUUGCCCUUGUCCAGCUUCCAGGAUCUGUUACACAGGUUGUCAUUGUUUAGGUACUUUAAGUUUUUCUUGAUUGCCUCAUACUCUGUCUUAGCAGUUUGCCUCUAGCUAAUCCUCCUUAAUUUGGUUCACCAGCCACCAAACAACAUUUUGUAAUUAAAGCCGAGGUUUUGUUAUUUA